rnacentral:rRNA from 1 species
UACGUAGGCGGAAAAUUAAGUCAGUGGUGAAAUCCUGCAGCUUGACUGUAGAACUGUCAUUGAUACUGGUUUUCUUGAAUACAGUUGAGGUAGGCGGAAUGUGUAAUGUAGCGGUGAAAUGCUUAGAUAUUACACAGAACACCGAUUGCGAAGGCAGCUUACUAAACUGUUAUUGACGCUGAGGUACGAAAGCGUGGGGAGCGAACAGGAUUAGAUACCCUGGUAGUCC